rnacentral:lncRNA from 1 species
AAAUUAAUUCAGGAUUAGAUAUUUAGUCCAAACAACAUGCGAUUUUUGUGUAUCUCUCUCUUUCUUUCUAAUUUUGAUCCGUAUGAGACAACGGUAAACGAACAGGACCACAAUAAAAUACAAAAAAAUGCAACUUAAAUCUGAAUUUUCUAUUUUUUCUUUUAUUUUUUCUCUUUUGUUUCAUCUACUUCCAUUUUCACUUGUCUCAUUCAGUCUAUACAUCACUUUAUAUAUUUUCGAGUUUGGCU